rnacentral:rRNA from 1 species
GGACGGACCGGGAGUACCGGUCAGUGGCGGACGGGUGGGGAACACGUGGCUACCUAUCCAAGCGUGGGGGAUNACCCCUGGGAAACCAGGGCUAAUACCGCAUAGGCUGGCAACAGCAAAGCCUUCGGGCGCGCAUGGAGGGGGCUGCGGCGGAUUAGCUAGUUGGUGGGGUAAGAGCUCACCAAGGCGACGAUCCGUAGCUGGUCUGAGAGGAUGAUCAGCCACACUGGGAUUGAGAACGGCCCAGAUCCCUACGGGGAGCAGCAGUGAGGAAUCUUCGGCAAUGGGCGCAAGCCUGACCGAGCGACGCCGCGUGGAGGACGACGCCUUUCGGGGUGUAAACUCCUUUUCCCCCAGACGAGACAGGACGGUAUGGGGGGAAUAAGCAUCGGCUAACUACGUG